GCACAGAUCAUCACUGCUCCACCUAAUUUCAAUAACCAUGAUUUAAUUAAAUAAUCUGAGAUCUUUAGCCCAAGAAGGAGUAGGUGAGACGUAGCCCGCUUUCUUGGCUAUUGAAUGCUUCUCGAAAGGAUGCCGAAGAACUUGCUGGAGAAGAUGUACCUGGUAAACAACGUGGGCAGAUAAAUAUUGAUUAUAAUUACCCAGGACCCUGAUGAAUUUCUACAUUUCUAAAACAAUUGCAGAAAUCAGUCUUCUUUCCAGUUUCGAAAAUCCUCACAAGCCAUGGGCGAAAGAGGAUCCUUUGGAUGCCAGAGAGUGCACGAAGCACAUUGGGUUACAGUAAUUGUAAAAUAAUUCAUAGUCAUAAUUCGUAAUGAGGAAACCUGAAAGUUGCUCGAAGCUAUCAAUGAAUGAAAGGUGGGGCAGGGGAGCUUUGGGGGCGGAGCCUUGUCAGCCAGUGCCUGGACUCGCACGUCACAAAUGGAAAGGCGGCCCGUGGAGGGAACUCAAGGCCUGAUUGGUUCGUCCUAAGCAGGACGCGACAGGGUUGG
rnacentral:lncRNA from 1 species